rnacentral:rRNA from 1 species
GACGAACGCUGGCGGCGUGCCUAAUACAUGCAAGUAGAACGCUGAAGAGAGGAGCUUGCUCUUCUUGGAUGAGUUGCGAACGGGUGAGUAACGCGUAGGUAACCUGCCUGGUAGCGGGGGAUAACUAUUGGAAACGAUAGCUAAUACCGCAUAAUAGUAGAUGUAGCAUGACAUUUGCUUAAAAGGUGCAAUUGCAUCACUACCAGAUGGACCUGCGUUGUACUAGCUAGUUGGUGAGGUAACGGCUCACCAAGGCAACGAUACAUAGCCGACCUGAGAGGGCGAUCGGCCACACUGGGACUGAGACACGGCCCAGACUCCUACGGGAGGCAGCAGUAGGGAAUCUUCGGCAAUGGACGGAAGUCUGACCGAGCAACGCCGCGUGAGUGAAGAAGGUUUUCGGAUCGUAAAGCUCUGUUGUAAGAGAAGAACGAGUGUGAGAGUGGAAAGUUCACACUGUGACGGUAUCUUACCAGAAAGGGACGGCUAACUACGUGC